UACAGAGGUGGCAAGCGUUGUUCGGAAUUACUGGGCGUAAAGGGCGCGUAGGCGGCCUUCUAAGUCAGACGUGAAAUCCCCCGGCUUAACCUGGGAACUGCGUCUGAUACUGGGAGGCUUGAGUAUGGGAGAGGGAUGUAGAAUUCCAGGUGUAGCGGUGAAAUGCGUAGAUAUCUGGAGGAAUACCGGUGGCGAAGGCGGUUCUCUGGGCAUGACCUGACGCUGAGGAGCGAAAGUGUGGGGAGCGAACAGG
rnacentral:rRNA from 1 species